rnacentral:rRNA from 1 species
GGCGCGUACGGGGCACUAGAUGUGGGACAUUCCACGGUUUCUGUGUCGUAGCUAACGCAUUACCUUGCCCGCCUGGGGAGUACCGCCGCAAGGCUAAAACUCAAAGGAAUUGACGGGGGCCCGCACAAGCGGCGGAGCAUGCGGAUUAAUUCGAUGCAACGCGAAGAACCUUACCAAGGCUUGACAUAUAGAAGAACACUGCAAAGAUGCAGGACUCUUUGGACACUUCUAUACAGGUGGUGCAUGGUUGUCGUCAGCUCGUGUCGUGAGAUGUUCGGUUAAGUCCGGCAACGAGCGCAACCCUCGUCCUAUGUUGCCAGCGGGCUAUGCCGGGGACUCAUGGGAUACUGCCGUGGUCAACACGGAGGAAGGUGGGGAUGGCGUCAAAUCAUCAUGCCCCUUAUGUCUUGGGCUUCACGCAUGCUACAAUGGCCGGUACAGAGGGCAGCAAUACCGUAAGGUGGAGCGAAUCCCAAAAAGCCGGUCUCAGUUCGGAUUGGGGUCUGCAACUCGACCCCAUGAAGUCGGAGUCGCUAGUAAUCGCAGAUCAGCAACGCUGCGGUGAAUACGUUCCCGGGCCUUGUACACACCGCCCGUCAAGUCAUGAAAGUCGGUAACACCCGAAGCCGGUGGCCUAACCCUUUUGGGAGGGAGCUGUCGAAGGUGGGACUGGUGAUUAGGACUAAGUCGUA